AUAUACAGCCAUACCACCCUGAGAACGCAAGAUCUCGUCUGAUCUCGGAAGCUAAGCAGGGUCAGACCCAGUCAGUACUUGGAUGGGAGACCAGCUGGGAAUAGCGGGUGCUGUGGGCU
rnacentral:rRNA from 1 species